rnacentral:rRNA from 1 species
UACGUAGGUGACCAGCGUUGUCCGGAUUUACUGGGCGUAAAGAGCGCGCAGGCGGUCGUUCAAGUCGAGUGUGAAAGCCCCCGGCUCAACUGGGGAGGGUCAUUCGAUACUGAUCGACUGGAAGGCAGGAGAGGGAAGCGGAAUUCCCGGUGUAGUGGUGAAAUGCGUAGAUAUCGGGAGGAACAUCGGUGGCGAAAGCGCUCUGCUGGACUGCAACUGACACUCAGGGACGAAAGCUAGGGGAGCGAAUGGG